rnacentral:rRNA from 1 species
GAUGAACGCUGGCGGCGUGCCUAAUACAUGCAAGUCGAGCGAACGGACGAGAAGCUUGCUUCUCUGAUGUUAGCGGCGGACGGGUGAGUAACACGUGGAUAACCUACCUAUAAGACUGGGAUAACUUCGGGAAACCGUAGCUAAUACCGGAUAAUAUUUUGAACCGCAUGGUUCAAAAGUGAAAGACGGUAUUGCUGUCAAUUAUAGAUGGAUCCGCGCUGCAUUAGCUAGUUGGUAAGGUAACGGCUUACCAAGGCAACGAAGCAUAGCCGACCUGAGCGGGUGAUCGGCCACACUGGAAGUGAGGCACGGUCCAGACUCCUACGGGAGGCAGCGGUAGGGAAUCUUCCGCGAUGGGCGAAAGCCGGACGGAGCAACGCCGCGUGAGUGAUGAAGGUCUUCGGAUCGUAAAACUCUGUUAUUAGGGAAGAACAAAUGUGUAAGUAACUGUGCACAUCUUGACGGUACCUAAUCAGAAAGCCACGGCUAACUACGUG